rnacentral:sRNA from 1 species
GACCUGGCUGCACAUUGUUGUCACUCUGUCCAUUGCCAAGGUGGUUUGGCUGACCUGGCUGGCUAGGCGAGUGUACCCUUCCU